GUUUUGUCAUAAAUUGAAUUAGGCCCGGUUCUUGUUGGACCAAGCUCAAUAAUUGAUGUCGUCAUAAAUUGAUUUAGGCCCAACUUGUUGUGCUGAGCCCAAUAAUUGUUAUCAUCAUAGAUUGAUUUAGGCUCAAUUCUUCUUGGAUCGAGCCCAAUAAUUGCUGAUGUUAUAACUUGGUUUAGGCCCAAUUCUUGUUGGAUCAAACGCAACAUGUGUUGACGUCAUAACUUUGUUUAGGCCCACGAAAUAAUGGACCGAGGGGGUGAGCUCAUGAAAUUUGGGGUCCAGUUAUUUUCGGGUGUAGCUCAGGUAGCACUUAAUUAAAAUAUAAUCUAAUUUAGUAUUACAUACAAAUCAAUUCGGUAAUUGACAACACACUUAAUCUUUACAUACCACACAUACAAAUAAAUAUUUCUCAUCACAC
rnacentral:lncRNA from 1 species